rnacentral:rRNA from 1 species
GACGAACGCUGGCGGCGUGCUUAACACAUGCAAGUCGAACGGUGAAGCGCUUUCCUUUUUGGUUGGUGUGGAUGAGUGGCGAACGGGUGAGUAACACGUGAGUAACCUGCCCCCUUCUUCUGGAUAACCGCAUGAAAGUGUGGCUAAUACGGGAUAUUCUGCGCCUGCUGCAUGGUGGGUGUGGGAAAGAUUGUGCCUUUGGGUGUUUUCGGUGGGGGAUGGGCUCGCGGCCUAUCAGCUUGUUGGUGGGGUGAUGGCCUACCAAGGCGGUGACGGGUAGCCGGCCUGAGAGGGUGGACGGUCACACUGGGACUGAGACACGGCCCAGACUCGUACGGGAGGCAGCAGUGGGGAAUAUUGCACAGUGGGCGCAAGCCUGAUGCAGCGACGCCGCGUGAGGGAUGGAGGCCUUCGGGUUGUGAACCUCUUUCGCCAGUGAAGCAGGCCUGCUCCUUGUGGGUGGGUUGACGGUAGCUGGAUAAGAAGCGCCGGCUAACUACGUG